rnacentral:rRNA from 1 species
UAUAAGAGGUCCAACCUGCCCAGUGACUACAAGUUCAACGGCCGCGGUAUUUUGACCGUGCAAAGGUAGCGCAAUCACUUGUCCUUUAAAUAAGGACCUGUAUGAAUGGCUAAACGAGGGCUUAACUGUCUCCUUUUUCAAGUCAGUGAAAUUGAUUUAUCCGUGCAGAAGCGGAUAUACUUAUACAAGACGAGAAGACCCUUUGGAGCUUAAGGCAUAAAACUUAAUCACGUUAAAUAACUAAAUAAAAAGUAACUUUUAACCUUGUGAUACUGAGAUAAAUACCUUCGGUUGGGGCGACCAUGGAGAAAAAUAAAACCUCCAAAUGGAAUGGGGGAGCUCCCUAAAAUUAAGAGAGACAUCUCUAAACCACAGAACAUCUGACCAUUAAUGAUCCGGUAAAAACCGAUCAACGAACCAAGUUACCCAAGGGAUAACAGCGCAAUCCUCUCCCAGAGUCCAUAUCGACGAGGGGGUUUACGACCUCGAUGUUGGAUCAGGACAUCCUAAUGGUGCAGCCGCUAUUAAGGGUUCGUUUGUUCAACGAUUAAAGUCCUACGUGA